GUGAGGAAUAUUGGUCAAUGGGCGAGAGCCUGAACCAGCCAAGUCGCGUGAAGGAUGAAGGUUUUAUGAAUUGUAAACUUCUUUUGCAGGGGAAUAAAGUACGGUACGUGUACCGUUUUGUAUGUACUCUGCGAAUAAGGAUCGGCUAACUCCGUGCCAGCAGCCGCGGUAAUCCGGAGGAUCCAAGCGUUAUCCGGAUUUAUUGGGUUUAAAGGGUGCGCAGGCGGGUUGAUAAGUCAGCGGUGAAAGUUUGCAGCUUAACUGUAAAAUUGCCGUUGAAACUGUCGAUCUUGAGUGCAAAUGAGGUAAGCGGAAUGUGUUGUGUAGCGGUGAAAUGCGUAGAUAUAACACAGAACACCGAUUGCGAAGGCAGCUUACUGGGAUGCAACUGACGCUCAUGCACGAAAGCGUGGGGAUCAAACAGGAUUAGAUACCCUAGUAGUCC
rnacentral:rRNA from 1 species